GAUGAGCUCACGCCUGAUUAGCUUGUUGGUAAGGUAAUGGCUUACCAAGGCGAUGAUCUGUAUCCGGCCUGAGAGGGCGCACGGACACACUGGAACUGAAACACGGUCCAGACUCCUACGGGAGGCAGCAGUGGGGAAUUUUGCGCAAUGGGGGAAACCCUGACGCAGCAACGCCGCGUGGAGGAUGAAAUCCCUUGGGAUGUAAACUCCUUUCGAUCGGGACGAUAAUGACGGUACCGAUAGAAGAAGCCCCGGCUAACUUCGUGCCAGCCGCCGCGGUAAUACGAAGGGGGCUAGCGUUGUUCGG
rnacentral:rRNA from 1 species